rnacentral:lncRNA from 1 species
AGAGCUGCGUUGGCGUUGAUGGCUCCUGUGGCUUUGCCUCGCAACCGUGGGCAUCAAGGAAGGGGUGUGACCAGAUCUUCCACCUGGAUGACUCCCCCCGCCAAUGGUUCUAACACCACAGCAGGUCUGCCGGACAUUUACCUGCCUGGAAUUUUUAAAGUUUUUGAAGUAUCCAUCUGAGGUUUAUUUUCUCUGGGAAUAGUUGAUUUUAAAAAUCAUAAAAGAAAGGAGGAAAAAUACCAGCCAGAGGCUGUCACCAGACUAGGGAAGUGAUGCGACUGCUGUGAGGUCCCACCCUGUGGCUAUAACCUGCAGCGCCCUCAAUCACGUUCCGGACUUUUUUAGGCUUCUCACACUACCUUCCCAUCCCGUGUUCCAGAGACCUGAAAGCAAGUCAGCGACAGUGUCUCUCCCAUCUGUCCACUGGAUGCUGGCCAGUGAAACCAGACUGAUGGCACCUCGUCUAUCUGCCCUCUCACCCUCGCUUUGGACCAGGACUGAUCUGGAGAGCUCUGUGAGGGCGCUGCCUUGGGUCCCCGAGGAUAGAGACAGAGCACCUCCUCCCCGCUCCCAUGUAUGCAAAACCCACAAUUUGUCUCCAGAGUCACCUGUGAAAGUCUAUGCCACCAGAUUCCCUCUAUCUUAGCUGGUGCCCCAAACUUAGAUUGGGAGUUCAUGAGCGCAUGAACCAAGGCACUGCUAUUAACUACAACCAAAGGCUUGGAGGCAAGGGCAGGAAAGAAGAAGUAGUCUGGAAAGACGUCGUCAAACAACCGAAAUGAUGGAGAGUCCGCCCUUGCAGUUCAUAAGGCACUGCCCUGAAGACAAGAAAACCAAAGCACAGACCUUCUGGUCCUCGGGCUCCCAGACAGGAGAGGCAUCCUGACUGCUGGGGCCCCACUCCCUUUGGCUUAUAUUUGGAUGUUGUGGGGCGGCCUCCCUGCAGAAUCUUCAUCGCCCUUCAGACUCUUCCUUCCAGGCUCCUUCCACCCAUGUCACAGAGGGAAAAAGUCAAAACACAGAAUCACUCCCCCCUCGCUGCUGUGUACCACAUGAAGCCACCCAGGCUCACAGGAAGCCAACUUCAUCUGCCCUCUGGUUUAUGACCUUGCUGAGCUUCCACGGCAAAGUCAUGUGGAUCAUCACUUCUCAACCUUCCUUCCCAAGCAGAAACAGAGACUCUGGAUUCUCUAGCCCAAAGCCAAUGAGCUACUUCCUCAGUAAGCGAAUGGUCACAGACUGCAUCUCACUCCCUCCGUACGGUGGAAGAUGUCUCUUAAGUUCAUUUAGAUUCUCAAAUAUACGGCGCUUAAUUCAA